rnacentral:rRNA from 1 species
GUCGAGCGGAUGAGAGGAGCUUGCUCCUCGAUUCAGCGGCGGACGGGUGAGUAAUGCCUAGGAAUCUGCCUAGUAGUGGGGGACAACGUUUCGAAAGGAACGCUAAUACCGCAUACGUCCUACGGGAGAAAGUGGGGGAUCUUCGGACCUCACGCUAUUAGAUGAGCCUAGGUCGGAUUAGCUAGUUGGUAGGGUAAAGGCCUACCAAGGCGACGAUCCGUAACUGGUCUGAGAGGAUGAUCAGUCACACUGGAACUGAGACACGGUCCAGACUCCUACGGGAGGCAGCAGUGGGGAAUAUUGGACAAUGGGCGAAAGCCUGAUCCAGCCAUGCCGCGUGUGUGAAGAAGGCCUUCGGGUCGUAAAGCACUUUAAGUUGGGAGGAAGGGCUCAUAGCGAAUACCUGUGAGUUUUGACGUUACCAACAGAAUAAGCACCGGCUAACUUCGUGCCAGCAGCCGCGGUAAUACGAAGGGUGCAAGCGUUAAUCGGAAUUACUGGGCGUAAAGCGCGCGUAGGUGGCUUGAUAAGUUGGAUGUGAAAUCCCCGGGCUCAACCUGGGAACUGCAUCCAAAACUGUCUGGCUAGAGUGCGGUAGAGGGUAGUGGAAUUUCCAGUGUAGCGGUGAAAUGCGUA